CUUGUGCCCACCUCUGGCAAUGAUGAAAGACUGCAAGCCAGUCCCUUCUGCAUGUCAGGAAGGGUGCAGAGCUGGCCUUUAAUCCCUGAAGGAAAUAGCUAAAAAAGAAAACACAGUUGGGUUUUGUGUUGAUUUUCCAUUACUAAGAGCUACACUACAAGACUGGAGGAAAGCUAGGAAGAAGAAG